rnacentral:rRNA from 1 species
GACAGAGGAUGCAAGCGUUAUCCGGAAUGAUUGGGCGUAAAGCGUCUGUAGGUGGCUUUUUAAGUCCGCCGUCAAAUCCCAGGGCUCAACCCUGGACAGGCGGUGGAAACUACCAAGCUGGAGUACGGUAGGGGCAGAGGGAAUUUCCGGUGGAGCGGUGAAAUGCGCAGAUAUCAGGAGGAACACCGAUGGCGAAGGCAGGUCUCUGGGCAUUAACUGACGCUGAGGAGCGAAAGCAUGGGGGAGCGAACAGG